AGGUAAUUAGUUUAAAUAAAACUAAUGAUUUCGACUCAUUAAAUUAUGGAUAAUACCAUAAUUACCAA
rnacentral:tRNA from 1 species